UGGGGCAAGGGUUUUGAAGGAUAAGAAGAUGUGAGGGGAUUUUGAUACACACUACUUACAAAUGGGAUACUAGGCCCAAAGAACUGAAAACCCCCAAGAAAAUUUUGCAAAAACAUUUUCACCUUCUGAGCUGACCUAACGGAAAAGGAGUGUCUUUCAUGCAAAUGAAAGGUACCAACUGUCUUGAUUUUAAAUAUCAGGUGUUCCCUGAUGCUCCCACUUCCAUACCAAACGCCUGCCUCCUCUCCAACUUCGAUAGCAGGUAUUCACGGUGUUAGAGUCCCAGUGGCCUUCAGGAAGAGGAGAUGGAUGCCUGGUUCAGAAUUCCACAGACCCUCAUUCAACAAGGUGGUAGCUGUCAAGCCACAUUUGCUGACAUUAGCAGUCCAACCUCUCCCAUAGGCACCAACCAAUAGUUGCAAGGUAGCUGACAGUCUAACAGGGAGGACAACACACAGGUUUCCACUGCAAGUCAGAAGGACAGGUCCCAGGAAC